rnacentral:lncRNA from 1 species
GAUUACUUUGCAGUCCGUGGAACAGGGCUACAGGCUUAAUUUCUCACCUGGUUACAGGUGGGAUCAUGAGUCUGUUCAAGGGGAUCGGCUGUUUUGAGUUGAGGAGAUGGCAGGGCCUAGCGGGUGAAGCCCGAGCAGCCUCAUUUGCAGCCUCAUUCCCAUUGGUCGAUGGGAACUGACUUGCUUUUUGCAGUUUCACUGGACGUUGAAAUCACCAUGGCUGUUUGUUCCACUGCAUCACGCCCCAGCCUCCCAAUUUGUAAUCAGCAGCACUCAGGGUGGAAGACGGAAUCAGUCCCUGCUCACGGUUGUGGAUCAAGAUGUAAGAUGUCAGCUGCAUCUUUAC